rnacentral:lncRNA from 1 species
GGGAGGCCAAGGCAGGCGGCAUGCUUCGCCGGGUGGUCAGAGCUAUUCGCCCAUAGUCCGUAGCCCAGAGCCGGGGCUGCUCGGCUCUCCGUCCCGGGGGGCCGGGGCCGGGCUGGAGGCGUGCGAGCCUCUCAUCGCUGCCUCCCAGCGCAGCCACCCGAGCCGCUGCCGCCGCCGCCGCCUCCCUCCAUGGCUCAGCAAAACCAUCCUUUCAUCUUUUCGUCUCAUCAUUUCUUCAUUUCAUUUCAUCUUUUCAUCUCAUUUCAUUUCAUCAAUUCAUCAUUUCAUCUCAUCAUUUCAUCUCAUUUCAUUUCACUUCAUUUGUUGCAUUUCAUUUCAUCAUUUCAUUUCAUCACUUCAUCUCAAUAUUUCAUUUCGUCACUUCACUUCAUCUCAUUUCAUCAUUUCAUCUCAUGAUUUCAUUUCAUCUCAUUUCAUCUUUUCAUCUCGUCAUUUCAUUUCAUCUUUUCAUCUCAUCAUUUCAUUUGAUCAUUUCAUCAAUUCAUCAUUUCAUUAUUUCAUCAUUUAAUCAUUUCACUUCAUUUCAUCAUUUCAUUUCAUCAUUUCAUAUCAUUUCUUCAUUUCAUCAUUUGAUCUUUUCAUUUCAUUUCAUCAUUUCAUCAUUUCAUCAUUUCACUUCAUCAUUUCAUUUCAUCAUUCCAUUUCAUUUCAUUUCACAAUUUCAUCAUUUCAUCAUUCCAUUUCAUCAUUUCAUUACAUUUCAUCAUUUCAUCAUUUCACUUCUUCUCAUAUCAUCUUUCAUUGCGUUAUUUCAUUUCAUCUCAUCAUUUCAUUUCAUCUCAUCAUUUCAUUUCAUCAUUUCACUUCAUCUCAUCAUUUCAUCUCAUCUCAUCAUUUCAUCUUUUCAUCUCCUCAUUUCAUUUAAUUAUUUCGUUUCAUUUCACCUUUUCAUCUCAUCAUUUCAUUUCAAUUCAUCAUUUAAUUUCAUUUUUUCAUCAUUUCAUCAUUCACUUCAUUUCAUCAUUUCAUUUCAUCAUUUCAUAUCAUUUCCUCAAUUCAUCAUUUCAUCUUUUCAUUUCAUUUCAUCAUUUCAUUUCACUUCACUAUUUCAUUUCAUUAUUUCAUUUCACCAUUUCAUGUCAUCAUUUCAUUUCAUCAUUCCAUUUCAUCAUUUCAUUUCAUUUCAUCAUCAUUUCAUCUCAUUAUUUCAUUUCUUCGUUUCAUCAUUUCGUUUCAUUUCAUCAUUUCAUUUCAUCAUUUCAUCAUUUCUUUUCAUUUCAGUGAUACAUGUAUUUAAUUGCUAAUGCGAUGCUCAGGAGACACCCUAUUUCCCUUUGUAAAACACCUCCUUCAACAAAAGGCAACUUCUCAUGGCUGGCUAAGUCUACAGGGAUACCAGCCUCUCUUCAAC